rnacentral:rRNA from 1 species
CCCGCUGAACUUAAGCAUAUCAAUAAGCGGAGGAAAAGAAACUAACAAGGAUUCCCCUAGUAACGGCGAGUGAAGCGGGAACAGCUCAAAUUUGAAACCUGGCGUCCUUAGGGCGUCCGGAUUGUAUUCUAGAGAAGCGUCUUCCACGCUGGUCCACGUAUAAGUGCCCUGGAACGGGCUGUCAUAGAGGGUGAGAAUCCCGUCCUUGAUGUGGGCUACCAGUGUUUUUGUGAUGCGCUUUCUAAGAGUCGAGUUGUCUGGGAAUGCAGCUCAAAGUGGGUGGUAAAUUCCAUCUAAAGCUAAAUAUUGGGGAGAGACCGAUAGCGAACAAGUACCGUGAGGGAAAGAUGAAAAGAACUUUGUAAAGAGAGUUAAACAGUACGUGAAAUUGCUGAAAGGGAAACGCUUGAAGUCAGUCGCGUCGUUCGGGAUUCAGCUUUAGCUUCUGCUGGGUGUAUUUCCUGUUCGACGGGUCAGCAUCAGUUUUGGCCGGUGGAUAAAGGCUCAGGGAAUGUGGCAUCCUUGGAUGUGUUAUAGCCCUGGGUUGCAUACAUCGGCUGGGACUGAGGAACUCAGCACGCCGCAAGGCCAGGUUUCGACCAUGUUCGUGCUUAGGAUGCUGGCAUAAUGGCUUUAAUCGACCCGUCUUGAAACACGG